CCCCUAGACGUUCUGGGCUGCACGCGCGCUACAAUAAUACGCACAGCGAGUAUCACCGAGCUCGAAAGGGCAAGGUAAACAAUAGAAAAGGUACUGUAAUGGUUAUAGAUCCUUGUAAUUAUUGAUCUUCAACGAGGAAUUCCUAGUAGACGUAGUUCAUCAGACUGCAUCGAUUACGUCCCUGCCCUUUGUACACACCGCCCGUCGCUCCUACCGAUUGAAUGGUUCGGUGAAGAUCUCGGACUUCGAUAUUUAUUCUUUAUUGAGUUUAUAUUGUGGGAAGUUAUCUAAACCUCAUCAUUUAGAGGAAGGUGAAGUCGUAACA
rnacentral:rRNA from 1 species